rnacentral:rRNA from 1 species
AUUGAACGCUGGCGGCAUGCCUUACACAUGCAAGUCGAGCGCGAAAGGGGGGCAACCCCCGAGUAGAGCGGCGGACGGGUGAGUAACACAUCGGAACGUACCCAGUAGUGGGGGACAACCUCGAGAAAUCGAGGCUAAUACCGCAUACGACCCACGGGUGAAAGCGGGGGACCGCAAGGCCUCGCGCUAUUGGAGCGGCCGAUGUCCGAUUAGCUAGUUGGCGGGGUAAGAGCCCACCAAGGCGACGAUCGGUAGCUGGUCUGAGAGGACGACCAGCCACACGGGGACUGGGACACGGCCCAGACUCCUACGGGAGGCAGCAGUGGGGAAUUUUGGACAAUGGGGGCAACCCUGAUCCAGCCAUGCCGCGUGCGGGAAGAAGGCCUUCGGGUUGUAAACCGCUUUCGGCCGGAACGAAAUCGCCCGGGUGAACAUCCCGGGUGGAUGACGGUACCGGAAGAAGAAGCACCGGCUAACUACGUGCCAGCAGCCGCAGUAAGAC